rnacentral:tRNA from 1 species
GCCCCUGUAGCUCAGUGGAUAGAGCGUCGGUUUCCUAAACCGUGCGUCGCAGGUUCGAGUCCUGUCAGGGGCA